AUUGAACGCUGGCGGCAUGCUUUACACAUGCAAGUCGAACGGCAGCGGGGACUUCGGUCCGCCGGCGAGUGGCGAACGGGUGAGUAAUGCAUCGGAACGUGCCUAUCAGUGGGGGAUAACGCUUCGAAAGGAGUGCUAAUACCGCAUAUUCUCUGAGGAGGAAAGCAGGGGACCUUCGGGCCUUGCGCUGAUAGAGCGGCCGAUGUCGGAUUAGCUAGUUGGUGAGGUAAAGGCUCACCAAGGCGACGAUCCGGAGCGGGUCUGAGAGGAUGAUCCGCCACACUGGACUGAGACACGGCCCAGACUCCUACGGGAGGCAGCAGUGGGGAAUUCUGGACAAUGGGCGAAAGCCUGAUCCAGCCAUGCCGCGUGAGUGAAGAAGGCCUUCGGGUUGUAAAGCUCUUUUGUCCGGGAGGAAAUCCUGGCCUCUAAUACAGGUCGGGGAUGACAGUACUGGAAGAAUAAGCACCGGCUAACUACGUGCCAGCCGCCGCGGUAA
rnacentral:rRNA from 1 species